GUGAGAGCGAGAACAGCCCCGCAGGUCCCGAGGCGCUGGCUGGGGACACUGCCGCGGAAAGUUCCCAGUCCCCAGCCGCAGAUCUGCAGAGUUGAAAUGAAAUGUUUUGAGCUCUUCAAGCUGACUCGUCAGAAUCCUGGAGCCUUUUAAAAAAUGACGAAUUGGAAGAAAAAAAUUACUUUAUCAAUAGCCAGGCUCCACCAGGAUUGACCAAGAUGUUUAUUCCUGGCACUUGUCAUUCUCAGCAAGCACAGCACAGAGAGCAAAUACAAAAGGCCCAAAGUGCUUUGCAUCUUUUAUGGAAACUUGUCCAAUUUGAUGUCAAUGGAAAUGCAUGAGAUCUUUAUUCAGCUUUCACACCUGAGCAAUGCUUUUGGUCAUGAUGUCAUACUAAGAAGAAACCCCCUGAGAUGAGAAUGUUAGAUGUUAAGAGUGAGUAUGACUGAUACAGAAAGACAUUUGCUGCCCUACGUAGAAUCAGGAGGUAUUUUAAUUUUGAAGCAUGUUGCAGGGUUAAGUUAAAAAGAAAGGUUGAUUAACCUGUUAUAUUUAAAAUGAUGUCUUGAAUUUCAAGUCAGAGGGGACACUGUUUAGCUUUUAGUUUCUCUGUUCUUCAACCUUCUGAAAUGGAGAUACUUCAGUUCAAAUAUGGUAUGUUGGUCACCAUGGUAUAUUUUCUUUUUUCUUCUCUUGGGUUGAUGGCUAACCCCAGACUUCUUUAUUCCAUAACUGACACACUCAUAUUGUUUGUGGUUUAGAUAUUAUGGAGUUUGUAAAUACUUAACUCUGUAUUUUGGCUAUCUAAUAAGGCAUAGGUCGGUUGUCCAGAGUGCAAGAGUUUAAGUGGAAAUGUACACACAUGCACACCUGUGUGCACACACAUACACGUGAGGAAAAAAUGGCAUUGCAGUUAAAACUUUGUUUUGUCAUAAAAAAUAGAAACAGAUCUGUGAAACAGAAGUGAUCACAAAAUCAGAUGAUGCUACACACAGAGUAUACUUGGAUUACAAUGGAGAACUUGAACGAUCGUUGUGAAAAAGAAGGUUUAGUUUUUUCAUUUUAUAUAAUAUACAAAUAUGAAUUCCAGAUGGAUUUAAGCAUUCAUUAAAAAUAUAAAACCACGGGAUAACUAAAUUUGUGGCGUACUGAAUAUUUCUAUCACUCAGAUAUGUUUUUUAAAACCGGGCUUAACAUUGUACCUUUUCAUGUCUACUCCCCAAGGCAAACAAAAACAAAAACCAACCAACAAAACAGAAAAAAAAAAAAACCCAAAAUGAAACAGAAGUUUCUGAAGGACAGCAGAAAUGGGAAGUUUUUUCCAUGAUGCAAUACACUAAAUGGAAAGUAACCUUCUCCUGGAAGCUACACCUAGAUGGCCCUAGUCAUGUGAAACCAGUGAUGAUAGCAACAGAUGAAGAUUCUGGACAGGGAAACUAAGGCUUGAACAGUUUGGAUAUGUCUGUUAUUAAAAUGUAAGCAUCUUUUGACAUUGGAGUAGCAAGAGGGGCAGGGAGCUGUACGAAAAGCAAAAUCUUAAGAAAACAUGACCAAUGUACAGAAAAAAUAAAAGUGAAUAGAGAAAAAUUAGACCACAACCACCACUCCCAGUCAUGAUGGAGAGGAGUGUUCAAUACCCACAGAUCCUGAAUUUUGAGCUGAUUAUACUAAAUAGAUGGGACUUAGUUUUGUCUGCCAUGGGGUUCUCUAUGGUGAAGAUGGCAACUUGCUGACUCAGUCUCAGAAUGCCUUAAAUCCACAUAUUGUGGCAAGUGGAGGUCUGCUUCUCCAAUAUCUCUUCCAGAUAAGUCUGGAGAGGACUGUAAUUGAUCCACCCUGAGUCAUAUGUCCAUGUCCAAAGCAAUGAGUUUGGAAAAUUUCAUGACACACUCCUAAUUUUGUGGUAGGAGACACAUCAGAACCACACAAUGAGUCAGUCUUAUUUAUAAAAUAGAGUUUCAUCUUCCAGAUGAAAGGAAAAAAAGUUGUAAAACAAAAACAAAUAUUCACUAAUGGGGAUCUAUCUGAAUUUCACCUGUAACUACAAAUGCCCAAAAGUAGAUUUACAGUUCUCCUAGAGUGUCAUGAAUUUCAAAACAUAUACAUGGAAUCAUAAGGUAAUAUCUUAAUCACUUCUCUCAACUUUCUGUUGAAUCUCUCCUUAACGUAAAAUGAGAAUAUUUUAGCAGUAGGAGAAGGAUUAUUUUUUCAUUUAUAGACCUUUAUCAGGCACUAAUGUAGGAUUGAGUUUGACCUGAUACAGUGUUCUAUCUCUGAGUGCUGUCAUUCAGGAGUUUGAUUGUAAAUACAAUUUAUUUUAUAUGACACCAAUAUAGAGAACAAAUUUACUUUUUUUUCUUAUAUAAUCAUGUAAUCAAUUGUUCCAACAUAAUCCAUUGAAUAGAUAUUGUGACAUUUCCCUAAUUAUUUGUAAAGGUACUGCUAUUAGAUAUGAAUAUUUAUAUAUGAGGAUAUGAAUCAUGGCUCUCUGAUUUGUUCAUUAUUUGCUUGUCUAUUCCUGUGCCAGUACCAUACAAUUGGUACUAAUAUAGUGUUCUGAUAUUGACAGGAUGAGAUGUUCCUUCUAAUGCUGUAGCUUUAAAUUUGUCUUGGUUGUACAUUUCUUUAUAUUCUUCCAUAUACAUUUGUGGUUCAGUUGUCAGCUUUGAAAAUCACUUUUGGGAUUUGAAUUGGAAUUGCAUGAAAUUUGUAGACUAACUUGUAGAAAAUUGACAUUUUUAUGAUAUGAAUUUCCACAUUCUUAUAACCAUGGGUGUGUUAUUUAUUUUCACUUUUGAAUAUUAUUGUGGGUUUUUAAUAGUAAAAAUAACAAUCAAUAAGUUACAUGGUGGUUACUAUGUGACAGAUGUUGUCAAAGUUCCAUCCAUAUAUCAACUUAUUAUAUAUUCUUAUGGGAAGAUACCAUUAUUAUCUCCAUUAUGCAAAUAAGAAAACCGAGGUACAAAGAGCUUAAGUAACGUGUGCUAAGUCAUAUAAGAGUAAAGCUUUAUUUGA